ACGGGAGGCAGCAGUGGGGAAUUUUGGACAAUGGGCGAAAGCCUGAUCCAGCCAUGCCGCGUGAGUGAAGAAGGCCUUCGGGUUGUAAAGCUCUUUCGGCCGGGAAGAAAUCGCACAGGCCAAUACCCUGUGUGGAUAACGGUACCGGAAUAAGAAGCACCGGCUAACUACGUGCCAGCAGCCGCGGUAAUACGUAGGGUGCAAGCGUUAAUCGGAAUUACUGGGCGUAAAGCGUGCGCAGGCGGUUUUGUAAGUCUGUCGUGAAAUCCCCGGGCUCAACCUGGGAAUUGCGAUGGAGACUGCAAGGCUAGAAUCUGGCAGAGGGGGGUAGAAUUCCACGUGUAGCAGUGAAAUGCGUAGAUAUGUGGAGGAACACCGAUGGCGAAGGCAGCCCCCUGGGCUAAGAUUGACGCUCAUGCACGAAAGCGUGGGGAGCAAACAGGAUUAGAUACCCUGGUAGUCCACGCCCUAAACGAUGUCUACUAGUUGUCGGGUCUUAAUUGACUUGGUAACGCAGCUAACGCGUGAAGUAGACCGCCUGGGGAGUACGGUCGCAAGAUUAAAACUCAAAGGAAUUGACGG
rnacentral:rRNA from 1 species